rnacentral:rRNA from 1 species
GUGGGGAAUCUUGCGCAAUGGGCGAAAGCCUGACGCAGUCAUGCCGCGUGAAUGAUGAAGGUCUUAGGAUUGUAAAAUUCUUUCACCGGGGACGAUAAUGACGGUACCCGGAGAAGAAGCCCCGGCUAACUUCGUGCCAGCAGCCGCGGUAAUACGAAGGGGGCUAGCGUUGCUCGGAAUUACUGGGCGUAAAGGGCGCGUAGGCGGAUCGUUAAGUCAGGGGUGAAAUCCCAGAGCUCAGCUCUGGAACUGCCCUUGAUACUGGCGAUCUUGAGUGUGAGAGAGGUAUGUGGAACUCCGAGUGUAGAGGUGAAAUUCGUAGAUAUUCGGAAGAACACCAGUGGCGAAGGCGACAUACUGGCUCAUUACUGACGCUGAGGCGCGAAAGCGUGGGGAGCAAACAGGAUUAGAUACCCGAGUAGUCC